GACUCUGAUGCUAUAUCAAUAAAUGUCCAUAUAGGAAAUGGCUAUCCUAAUGGCUCGAGUGGCAUAAACGAAUGAGAGGUAACAAAGGCUUGCAAGGGUUUCCUCGGAUCAGAUGGAGAUUAGGCCUUUAGUGUAAAGGCAAAACAAAGUUUGAUUGUAAGACCCACCCAUCGAGUAAAGAUGGAAGUCAAUCUUAGUGAUCUGAUGGUGCCAAGUAGAAGGAUUGUCCCUCAAUGGGCUAUAGGGAUAACAGACUCAUCUUCCCCCAAGAGUUCAGAUCGACAAGAAGGUUUGGCACCUCAAUGUCGGGUCUUCGACAUUUGAGGUUGUAGUAUGUUCAAAGGAUUAAGUUGUUCGCCCAUUAAAGCGGUAUAUGGAAAAUGCAAGUUCUGUAAGGCACAUAAGAUUGUGUUA
rnacentral:ncRNA from 1 species